rnacentral:misc_RNA from 1 species
GUGAAUUGAAUAUGUUAGCGGACCUCUUCGGAGUCCCUAGCAUCAAAUCAUAUCCAUAACACCUGUGAACUGUAAGGCUGUCUUGAAAACGAAAGUGAUUAGAGCGCCUGCCCAUUUUAUACAAACAUUAAAGUAACAAACGUAGUCUUAUUAUAAUCUAGUA